rnacentral:rRNA from 1 species
CCUACGAGCGGCAGCAGUAGGGAAUCUUCCACAAUGGGCGAAAGCCUGAUGGAGCAACGCCGCGUGUGUGAUGAAGGGUUUCGGCUCGUAAAACACUGUUGUAAGAGAAGAAUGACAUUGAGAGUAACUGUUCAAUGUGUGACGGUAUCUUACCAGAAAGGAACGGCUAAAUACGUGCCAGCAGCCGCGGUAAUACGUAUGUUCCAAGCGUUAUCCGGAUUUAUUGGGCGUAAAGCGAGCGCAGACGGUUAUUUAAGUCUGAAGUGAAAGCCCUCAGCUCAACUGAGGAAUUGCUUUGGAAACUGGAUGACUUGAGUGCAGUAGAGGAAAGUGGAACCCCAUGUGUAGCGGUGAAAUGCGUAGAUAUAUGGAAGAACACCAGUGGCGAAGGCGGCUUUCUGGACUGUAACUGACGUUGAGGCUCGAAAGUGUGGGUAGCAAACAGGAUUAGAUACCCCUGUAGUC